AUUGAACGCUGGCGGCAGGCUUAACACAUGCAAGUCGAGCGGGGGAAGGUAGCUUGCUACCGGACCUAGCGGCGGACGGGUGAGUAAUGCUUAGGAAUCUGCCUAUUAGUGGGGGACAACAUCUCGAAAGGGAUGCUAAUACCGCAUACGUCCUACGAGAAAAAGCAGGGGAUCUUCGGACCUUGCGCUACUAGAUGAGCCUAAGUCGGAUUAGGUAGUUGGGGGGGUAAAGGCCUACCAAGGCGACGAUCUGUAGCUGGUCGGGGGGGAUGAUCCGCCACACUGGGACUGAGACACGGCCCAGACUCCUACGGGAGGCAGCAGUGGGGAAUAUUGGACAAUGGGGGGAACCCUGAUCCAGCCAUGCCGCGUGUGUGAAGAAGGCCUUAUGGUUGUAAAGCACUUUAAGCGAGGAGGAGGCUACUCUAGUUAAUACCUAGGGAUAGUGGACGUUACUCGCAGAAUAAGCACCGGCUAACUCUGUGCCAGCCGCCGCCGUAA
rnacentral:rRNA from 1 species